ensembl:lncRNA
GUAGGGUACAGGCCCACCAUGGGAGAAGCUGUUUACCUUUGCUCCAAAACUAACAUUUCAUGGAUCUUGUGACAAUUCUUGGUCACUGCACCUUCUGGUUUAAAAGGGUCGUAGAAGGUGACACUUUCAUCUGAGACUAGAUGAAUCUUUACCGCUGCUGCUUCUGAAUAAAACUGUUUCCUCACUUCACACCUUGUAAAACUUGACACACAUUUUUGUCCAAGUAUGCAUGGAUAAAGGGAAGAGUUCAAGGCCAGGUUUGGAAAACAAAAUGACAUAAGGUACAUUUGAAUGAGCAAGGGGUGCAGCACGUUUGCUUGAUUCACACUUUCCCAGUCGUAGGCCUCGAUUUCGAUCUUUGUCUAACAUUCUUCAAGUGCAGUGUAUGAUGGUUAAUUAAUGGCACAGCAAGUGGGAGUUCCCACUCAAACCUCCAAAAAGGGGGGUUUUGCACACCCUUAGAACUGAAUAUGUCUUAUUUUAGAACCACCUGAACUUCAUUAUCCUCCUAAGUUUCCAUGUGGGUCAGUAACACCAAUAUAACACAGAUUUUUGUACUUUCAUGCUACUUGGUGAGAUAAAAACUAUAUCCAAACACCAACCUAAUCCACCAUGUGGACAUUUUCAUUAACCUAGAGCUAAGGUCAUGACCCAUGUCACCAAAGUUCGGUCCCAGUUCUGGUGAUGAAUGGUUUAUGUGCUGCCAGAAAACUUCAACAGAAAGAUUCAGAGGUGUAAAACAGAAACAAGUAACCAUAUGUCACGCUGGAGGGCAGGAAAUAAACUCCAGAUGAAGACACUACAUUGUGGUUUAUUUUGCUUAUGUGUGUGGGUGUGCACAUACUGUAAUGUAAGUGAACUGUAGGACUGUCUUUUGAGUUGCACAGCACACAGCAUCUCCAUUUCCACCAAUCUAUUCUAAUUGUAGGAUCAUAACAGGUUUUUUAUUGAUCUAUUGGUCUAUGACUUUAUCAAAUAUCCUAAAUAUCUAAAAUAAUGACAGCUAUCAUCACAAGUUAUAAUGUGGAACACUGCUCGUUUUCUUAUUCUAAAUAUUACAGAUACAACCAUAAGACAUGAGAAAUUCAACUGGCAACUCAGUGGCUAAGACUGUUUUGAUCAAUGUCUUGCACCAUAUUGCAGCUGUUUAGACACUGGACCUCUUACAUAGCAGAUACUAGAUACCCUUCACCUUCAUUUGUUCUGUUAUAACAAAAAUAAGGCAUAUGGUUGUAGAGAAUAAUUUCUUGUGUUGUUACCUUGCCUUAGAUACAGGGAUAAAUCAGCUUUUUUGAUAAAUUACUAUUACUAUUACUUGAUUGACAUGAUUUGGAUUGUUGAAGCUAAUAAGGUUUGUGUCAUAUAUUAAAUAUUUGUAUCGUUUAUUUUAAUUUUUGGGCAACGCAACCAGAGCUUCCAGUUCAAUAGCUUUUUGUGGGCAUUAUGCUAUCUCAAUUUACAUUGACUCUAAUCUGAGGCUUUGGUGACCAAUUCUAAACUUCUGACUGGUGGCACUGUGUGAUUUAGACACUGGCCUCCACAGGUGUGGCAAGUGAUCUGAGGGAUGAGUGAAUUCUUCCUGAGUAAUGGUAGCCAUGAUUUGCUCCCCAUGUUGCCCUGCUCAAAUCUUCCCCUUCCUGUUGUCUUAUCUGAGCAUCCAGUGCAACCUAAACCAGGGUGCGGUGCCUCUGUUCCUCCAUUCCCUGUGCAGCCGGUCCCCAUUGCUGGUUUUCUCAAAUGUCACUGUGAAGAGAGAAUGACCCAGUUGAGUUGGACUGACUGACAGAGUCCUGACACCCCAUUGUAGGCACCCUGUCUCAACCUGCCACCCACAGCUUCCCACCUUCUGACCUUUGUGGCACCAAGGGCAAAACAGGCAAAGGCAUUCAGCUAUGCAGUAGAUCCACGAAGAACUUUCUUUGUUUUUAUAAUGGAAAUUGAAAAGCAUUGAUUCGUCUUCCAGACUCAAAAGUAAUUUAGAUUUCCUUAAAACAUUUUUAAAGACGUAAAUGGUAAGUGGUAGUAGACGGAGAGUAGACUAAAAAAGUAGAGACUUAACAUAGAUUGUGUAGAGACAAUUUAUACUUCUCCAACUGUCUGGAUUUGAUUAAGCCAAACAGUCCACCAGCAUCAAGCCAAGCAUCCUCUUUAACACUGUAACUUAAAAAAAAACUGCAAAUAGUUACGAAUCUGACCACUGAAGCUAAAACGCACAAAGAUGUUAGAUGUGUUCAGCAGCGUAUCAUAGAACCAAGCAGUCAUUAAGGAUAUGCACACUGUGUAUAAUAACUUUGCCACACCGUGCUUAUUUAUGUGCUAACCCAAACUUCAUUACUCCAUAGAAUAAUAAGGCUUGUUUAAAGUAAAAUCAUUGACCAAAGCCAAAUUGACACUUACUUAAGCUUGAUAAACUGUUAUUUUCCUGGCUUAAUUCUCUGGUGCAUGGUAACUUGAAUAGGAUUUGAAUCAUUUGUGAAUCAUCUAUCAUUUGCAUUCCUGCCAAAUACGCUAUAAACAUGUUUCCGCAUGUGUUCAUUCCAUAGCUGAUCUGCCAAACAGCAGUCGAAGGCUGCUGAAAGAAGGCUUAUCUCACAGCCUUCUAUGAAAAUAUAUAUAUUUCUUUUUAAUGGAAUGUGGAAUCAAAGGAAUCUGCGAUAAAUUAACUGGAUAUUGCAUUUUUUAUUUUUUAUUUUGGCCAAUGUCCGAUGCUGUCAAUUUUUUUUGUACAUUCACAAAGACAGGAAGUUUUGUGGGGAAAAAUCUGAUUAACUGAGUGCGUGUGUGUGUGGGUGUUUUUGUGUGUUUGUGUUUGAGUAUAGCCACCAAACUUUGAAUGUGUGUGUAGACUUGCAGACCUUAGCUCAGCUCGGAGAUGUAAUCUGAUUUGCAGAAAGGAACGGGUCGUUUCACAUGACUGGUUUAAAGGACCGCUGGCGCAAGGUUGUGCCAGUGUCCCUGACUGAUUUGUGUGUGUGUGUGUGUGUGUGUGUGUGUGUGUGUGUGUGUGUGUGUGUGUGUGUGUGUGUGUGUGUGUGUGUGUGUGUGUGUGUGUGUGUAUGGAUAUAUGUACUUCAAUACUUGUGUGUAUACACCUACAAGUAUUAAUUUGUUUUCACAAAGUGCAACGCAGACAUGUGAUCAUUUGCUACUAUAGGCUUGCCUCCACUAGAAAAAGAGAGGUGUUGAAGUUUGCAAUGUGGUCAAACACACCAGAGUUUUGCUUUUAUUCCGUUGUUCUUCGGUUUAAACACGGUUUAUUUGCAGAAAUAAAGCCACCACUAAUUAACAGUCAAUUACACAUCUGGAAAAAAGCAAAGCUCUGCUACAGACUCGGAUGAAGGUUUUGUUUGCAGCUUUCUGUUUACACAUCUCUUAUAAUCAGAGCUUUAUUUUGAACUAAUGGACCAUCAGAAAUUAUAUCAAAUAAUUGAAAUCAUCCUGUAGCCUGAGCCCUUUUUACAAGACUGCUAGGAUUAAAAUCCCCUUAAAGCUUCCCCUAUGAAUCUGCUGGGUUGUUUUUUUUUUUUACAUAAAUAGAAAAAAAAUGUUUAUUGAUGUUUUUGUGGUCGAGAUUCUCAGAUGGGUUUUUUUUUUUGAGCUGGAAGAGGUCCAUCAUGUGAUUUUCAUUGGAGAGUGGCCGGAGGAGACGACCACAAUAAAAACAAGUGAGCGUGCAUGAGCGUGUGUUUGUGUGUCAUCUGGCCUUGUUAAUAACUGCAGGUUGUUUUCCAUCUCGAGGUCGUCAACUGCGGUCAUGGCAUACACAAAUGGAAGAGAGGAGGCCCUAGGAGGUGAUAUCAAUGAGUGCUCCUGGGAGUGUCGUGUAAAUGCAUGCACAGAUGAUCACCAAGAAGGGGCUGAGUAAUGGAAACAUGACCUCAAGAGAUUCAACAGGAUCAUACUAAAUCCUGGUUUGGACUGUUGGACCAGCAUCCUCUGAAGCAGAUGUUUGCUCCUGGCAAGGCUGCCGACAACAUGAGCUCCAACACUGGCAAUCUAGCUCCCAGGAUUCAGUGAGCAGCGUGAGCUUGGAGAAGCUAUGACAUAAACGCAGCAGGACGGUGAAUCGCGUUUUGCUGCUCAGACAUCAUGGAACAGAUCAGUCAGCCCCAUCUGGAGAAAUGCUCUAUAGAAGAGUCAUAUAUUUACCAUAGUUACUUUGAUGGAUACAGCAUGUUGUUUGACUUUAUUUUUCUAAUUGAUUUUAUGAUGAUAAUUUCCCGGCAUCUAUGUAUCUUCUCUUGUUUUGCAGAUUUUAUUUACAGUGUCGCUCAUUCAGUAACUUCAGCAUUUAAUGUGUAAUUUUUGUCAUUUUUGGUAAUGUGACUGUUUUCAAAGUGGCUCUUCUAAAACUGCAUAAGAACGUUUAUCCAGGGAGGAGCACAAAAGAUGUCUCCUACUGUGUAUAAAGACUUAAUGCACAUGUGAUUGAGAUUAAUCAGACGAAUCACUCAAUCAGUGGAUAUGUGAUUUUCAUCUUCGACAAAGAAGCCAUUGUCAUUAAUGUAAAACCAUGAAUUCUCCUUCUUACGCUGCAUUUUAUUGUGACACAUUGGCAGCUUCUGCUAAUUUCAGUUAAUAAUCCUGUCAAGCAGUUUAUUCUCAUUAUGAUUUAUGACUCCAUAGCUUUUGUUGUUUUUGUUAAGCCCUGUUAGCAGAAAUUAAAAGGUGUAUCCAAGCUGCUGUUUGUUUGUGUUGUCAUUCCAGAUACAUGAGAUAAAUGGUUGGAUGUUUCAGUGGUGUUCAUUGUUACGGUUAUUCAUGCUGGCUUCCUUACUAGUUAGGCCAGUAUGUGCUAGUCUAGCAUUUGAGGAAUAAAUGGGGUGUUAUCUUUUUUUUUUUUCUUCAAAGGAAGACAAGGUAAAGGUGAACUUUACAGUAAAAAUGUAAUAUGUUACAUUUAAACUGAAACAGUGAUUUUUAAUAGUUUUAC